UACGUAGGGCGCAAGCGUUAUCCGGAAUUAUUGGGCGUAAAGAGCUCGUAGGCGGUUUGUUGCGUCGGCUGUGAAAUCCCCGAGGCUCAACCUCGGGUCUGCAGUCGAUACGAGCAAACUAGAGUGUUGCAGGGGAGACUGGAAUUCCAGGUGUAGCGGUGAAAUGCGUAGAUAUCUGGAGGAAUACCGGUGGCGAAGGCGGCAUCCUGGACCGACAUUGACGCUGAGGAGCGAAAGCCAGGGGAGCAAACGGG
rnacentral:rRNA from 1 species